GCGGUGGAUGAUGUGGUUUAAUUCGAUGCAACGCGAAAACCUUACCCACCUUUGACAUGGCAGGAAUCCCGAAGAGAUUUGGGAGUGCUCGAAAGAGAACCUGCACACAGGUGCUGCAUGGCUGUCGUCAGCUCGUGUCGUGAGGAUGUUGGGUUAAGUCCCGCAACGAGCGCAACCCUUGUCAUUAGUUGCUACGAAAGGGCACUCUAAUGGGACUGCCGGUGACAAACCGGAGGAAGGUGGGGAUGACGUCAAGUCCUCAUGGCCCUUAUAGGUGGGGCUACACACGUCAUACAAUGGCCGGUACAGAGGGUAGCCAACCCGCGAGGGGGAGCCAAUCCCACAAAGCCGGUCGUAGUCCGGAUCGCAGUCUGCAACUCGACUGCGUGAAGUUGGAAUCGCUAGUAAUCGCGGAUCAGCAUGUCGCGGUGAAUACGUUCCCGGGUCUU
rnacentral:rRNA from 1 species